rnacentral:lncRNA from 1 species
GAAAAGGUUAUAUUUGUUCUUAUACAGCAAAAUUUGAAUUUUUUUACACAUUAGUUUUGUCACGGGAAAAUUCCUUAAAAAUACACGGACUAAUUUUCAUUUGCUAAUAAAAUACACUAACUAUUUUGGAUCCCCGUUUAAUACACGAACUAAUUUUUGUUUCCUAUUAAAUACACAAACUUUUAAAAUUCGCAGAUUUUACACAUCG